UAGGGUACCCUUCGGCCCUACUUAGUUCAACCAAAUGAACUAAAAUUUCAAAAAUAUGUGAAUUCCGAAAAUUUAAUUUAUUUAGUUGAACUAAGGAGGGUCGGAGGGUACCCUC
rfam:Triticum aestivum genome assembly, contig: Triticum_aestivum_CS42_TGACv1_scaffold_002953_1AL